rnacentral:rRNA from 1 species
UACGGAGGGGGCGAGCGUUAUUCGGAACUAUUGGGCGUAAAGGGCGCGUAGGCGGCCCUGCAAGUCAAAGGUGAAAUCCCUCGGCUCAACUGAGGAACUGCCUUUGAAACUGCGGGGCUUGAGGCCGGGAGGGGGUAGCGGAAUUCCCAGUGUAGCGGUGAAAUGCGUAGAUAUUGGGAGGAACACCAGUGGCGAAGGCGGCUACCUGGACCGGUUCUGACGCUGAUGCGCGAAAGCGUGGGUAGCAAACAGG